rnacentral:rRNA from 1 species
CCCUUAGAUGUUCUGAGCCGCACGCGCGCUACACUGAUGCAUUCAACGAGCCUAUCCUUGACCGACAGGUCCGGGUAAUCUUUGAAUCUGCAUCGUGACGGGGAUAGAUUAUUGCAAUUAUUAAUCUUCAACGAGGAAUGCCUAGUAGGCGCAAGUCAUCAGCUUGCGUCGAUUACGUCCCUGCCCUUUGUACACACCGCCCGUCGCUCCUACCGAUUGGGUGUGCUGGUGAAAUGUUCGGAUCGGCCGUUUGUCGCGGUUUCCGCGUCAUGUGGCUGAGAAGUUCAUUAAACCCUCCCACCUAGAGGAAGGAGAAGUCGUAACA